UUCAGUGCAUUCCUCAUUCAACAUGCUGCACUCCUUUUACUUGUUUGUGUCUGCUUCCACAUGAAAAAUCAUUGCUCAAGGUUUUAAGCUAUAUUGAUGCAACCAUUGUUUACGUAAUACAUACAACAAAUGUAGUCCAGGUAAGCUUCAUUUUUUCCUGUGCCUGUGUUAGUCUAAUCCUUUUGGACAAGAGGGAACCAUAUGGCCUCCAUAGUGGUCUGCCAAAUCCUAUGAGCUUGCAUCUGAGCACAGCAGAUUCGGCUCUGGGAGGAAGGACAGGAAGCAGAGAGGAAAUCAUCGCAGUCAAGUUAAGGGCCAUUGGCCCAUUAUGGUUUGCUUCUGCUGCACCAUGCUAGGGCCCAUUGAGGCUCCAUAUAACAUUCCAAAAUGUCAUUCUUUGUACCUUUGGCACUAUCGCCGCCAUGAGCAGGAGCACUGAAUCAUCUUGCUCAUUAUGGUUGACAUUAUGUUAGGGGGAUAUGAAAUGGUAAGGUUGUAUGUUUUAUUUAAUUUUGGAGUUGUAACCAUGUUCAUUCAUUUCAUUGAAUUUGACUUUGUGACCACGCAA